rnacentral:rRNA from 1 species
UACGGGGGGGGGCAAGCGUUGUUCGGAAUUACUGGGCGUAAAGGGCGCGUAGGCGGCCUUCUAAGUCAGACGUGAAAUCCCUCGGCUCAACCGAGGAACUGCGUCUGAUACUGGAAGGCUUGAAUCCGGGAGAGGGAUGUGGAAUUCCAGGUGUAGCGGUGAAAUGCGUAGAUAUCUGGAGGAACACCGGUGGCGAAGGCGGCAUCCUGGACCGGUAUUGACGCUGAGGCGCGAAAGCUAGGGGGAGCAAACGGG